CAGAGGCAGGACUGGGGCGGGGCUUGAUCGGCUUUGUAGCAAAAGGCUACCUGAACCGGUGCUCCUCCUACGCCGUACCGUCACGGGUCAUCUCAGGCAGUGGCCGGUCCUCAUCGAUGCCCAGGCAGGAGUCUAGCGCUCCGGGGAUCACAUGGAGCGCUAAUCCGGAGAGCGAGCGAGCAACGGAAGUGGGGGCGUGACCAACGAUGCGGCGAAACUGCGCACACUCAGGAAUUCUACCCCAAUCGGAAGUCGGAAGUCGUGGCGUCUUCGGUUACCACGGUGACGAGCCCACUUCCGUUCUCGUACCUCUCGGGUAUCCCUUGUGAGCGCCGGGCACAAAAAUAUAAAGCCAGCCGUUUGAGAUCGUGCCGCGGGAGGUGAAAGGCCCCGCUCCCAACGUGGUGAUCACUCACGCGAAACGCAAGAAUUGCGAGACCCUGAGAUUUCUCCAGCGAUCCCCACCCCCAGGCUCAACGCAGCCAAACUGGACCGCAGUCAGGACUCCAGUUAAGAGUGAAAUGUGCUCUGGUGUAUAGUAAGGAGAUUUGACAGAUGAGUUCACCACUUACCCUACCUCCAAGAAAUAUCCUCCACCAGUCAAUUUUAAUGUAUAACUUAUGUCUCUGGAAAAUCAGCUUUUGGGGUUUUGAAGGCCCUUCAGUCUCCCAGACACCUGGGAGCGCUGUCUCCUUGUGAUAGGGCAUGUGUGUCCCAGAAGAGACACAGGGUUGGGAGGCAGUUCCGGGCUCUGAGUUGGCAGAUAACCAGCCUGAGAUGGAGAACUGGUACUGUAGCUCUUGGAAGGUAGUCUGUGGAAUGUGAUGAAGUUGUGGGUGUCAUGCCUGUCUCAGCCCUCUCAGUCUUCUAGGGUUGCUUUAUGUGAUCAGUUUAACCCUGAGAGCUGUUUGGCCCAACUGACCCUGGAGACCUGGAAAUUGGAGAAAGGAUGGCUGACUGUUGUUAGGAAGGAGACCGAGGGGAUGCUGUUUGCCAUAGAAUGUUGAUAGGUUCUGCAUAGUGCUGAAUAGUGUUGGUAUAAGCACCCGAAUUCCUUUGUUUCUGUCUAGCCUGUACAGUACUCCAGAAACCUCACCAUCUGUACUUAUGUAGUUACAGAGAUAGUAAUUUAGCCCCAGCAAUGUGUACACAUGAUGAAACACUCAUUUGGUCACAAUUAUCCCAUACUGGUGGCAAUGUAAAAUGAUGCAGCCACUUUGGAAAACAGCCUUCCACUUCAUCAAGUAAUUAAACAUAGAGUUACCAUGUGAUCCAGCAGUUCCAUUCUUAAGUAUAUAACCAAGAGUGUUGAAAACAUGUUUAUGCAAAAACUUGUAUUCAAAUCUUCAUAUCAACAUUAUUCAUAAUUGUCAAGAAAGUGGAAAUGUCCCAAAUGUCCACCAGUAAAUGAAUGGAUAAAUAAAAUGUGGUAUAUCCAAACAA